CCUACGGGUGGCAGCAGUGAGGAAUAUUGGUCAAUGGACGAGAGUCUGAACCAGCCAAGUAGCGUGAAGGAUGACUGCCCUCUGGGUUGUAAACUUCUUUUAUAUGGGAAUAAAAUGUUCCACGUGUGGGAUUUUGUAUGUACCAUAUGAAUAAGGAUCGGCUAACUCCGUGCCAGCAGCCGCGGUAAUACGGAGGAUCCGAGCGUUAUCCGGAUUUAUUGGGGUUAAAGGGAGCGUAGGUGGAUUGUUAAGUCAGUUGUGAAAGUUUGGGGCUCAACCGUAAAAUUGCAGUUGAAACUGGCAGUCUUGAGUACAGUAGAGGUGGGCGGAAUUCGUGGUGUAGCGGUGAAAUGCUUAGAUAUCACGAAGAACUCCGAUUGCGAAGGCAGUUCACUGGACUGCAACUGACACUGAGGCGCGAAAGUGUGGGUAUCAAACAGGAUUAGAUACCCGAGUAGUC
rnacentral:rRNA from 1 species